AAAAGUUUUCCUUCAAAAAAAUGUAUACAUACAAUUUUGAAAUAAAUUUCUGCCUGAAAUAUUCAAGCAGGAGGCCAUUGAAGGAGAGGGCAGUUUCAAUUAGAGGUUAGAUAUGAUUGUCAUGGACAUUGAUGAGGAAGAGUUGAACAGCUUAUCUGCAAGCUACAGUUUCUCCUUAGGGCCACUAUCCUGUUCUGACAAAGCUGAGAGCAACAAUUCAGGGCUGCAGAGAACAGCAGACCAAGCUCUGGAGAAGGAACUCAUCCCACAUGAGCAUCAACACCAGCCAGUUAAAGAGGAAGUGAUGGAAGAACAGGACAAUUUCAAAACGACACAUGAUAUAUUUGUCAUAGAUGUUGAUGAGGAAGAGUUCAAAAGUUUGGUGGCAAAUGUCAGUUCUGGUGAGGAUCUUUCUUCUCAAGAAGGUGAAAACAAAGGAUCAGACCAAACAAAAGCACACCCAAUUCUAGAGAAGGAACUUUCUUUCGGUCUGCAUGACCAUCAACAUCAGCUUAGUACAGAGGAGACCGCAGAGAAACAAGGCAAUUUCAACAGGAUACGAGAUGUGACUGUUGCAGACAUUAUUGCCAAAGAUUCGACCGCAUCACCUGCAAGCUCCAUUUCCUCUGUUGAGCCAAUUUCUUCCUGCAGUGAAGUUAAGGGUAAUGCGUCAGGGAUACAGACAACUGCAGGUCACGCCCUAGAGAAGCGACGUCCUCUGGGCCCACAUGAGCAUCAGUUCAGUAGAG
rnacentral:lncRNA from 1 species